UACACAAGCAGAGCAAUCCUUCUAAACCAU
rnacentral:piRNA from 1 species